GGACUACCCGGGUAUCUAAUCCCGUUCGCUCCCCUGGCUUUCGCCCCUGAGCGUCAGAUACGAGCCAGGACACUGCCUUCGCCUUUGGUGUUCUUCCGGAUAUCUACGCAUUUCACUGCUUCACCCGGAGUUCCAUGUCCCUCUCUCGCUCUCAAGUCCACCAGUUUUUGCGGCUCUCUCCUCGUUAAGCGAGGAGCUUUCACCCCAAACUUGGCGAACCGCCUGCGGGCCCUUUACGCCCAAUAAAUCCGGACAACGCUCGCCCCCUACGUAUUACCGCGGCUGCUGGCAC
rnacentral:rRNA from 1 species